AUUGAACGCUGGCGGCAUGCCUUACACAUGCAAGUCGAACGGCAGCACGGGUGCUUGCACCUGGUGGCGAGUGGCGAACGGGUGAGUAAUACAUCGGAACGUACCUUAUCGUGGGGGAUAACGCAGCGAAAGCUGUGCUAAUACCGCAUACGCCCUGAGGGGGAAAGCGGGGGAUCGCAAGACCUCGCGCGAUUAGAGCGGCCGAUGCCUGAUUAGCUUGUUGGUGGGGUAAAAGCCCACCAAGGCGACGAUCAGUAGCUGGUCUGAGAGGACGCUGCGCCACAAUUGGGCUGGGACACGGCCCAGACUCCUACGGGAGGCAGCAGUGGGGAAUUUUGGACAAUGGGGGCAACCCUGAUCCAGCAAUGCCGCGUGAGUGAAGAAGGCCUUCGGGUUGUAAAGCUCUUUUGUCAGGGAAGAAACGCGCUGGGUUAAUACCUCGGCGUAAUGACGGUACCUGAAGAAUAAGCACCGGCUAACUACGUGCCAGCAGCCGCAGUAACAC
rnacentral:rRNA from 1 species